rnacentral:rRNA from 1 species
AACGAACGCUGGCGGCAGGCUUAACACAUGCAAGUCGAACGCGCCCUUCGGGGCGAGUGGCAGACGGGUGAGUAACGCGUGGGAACCUACCUCAUGGUACGGAAUAACUCAGGGAAACUUGAGCUAAUACCGUAUGUGUCCUUCGGGAGAAAGAUUUAUCGCCAUGGGAUGGGCCCGCGUCGGAUUAGCUAGUUGGUGGGGUAACGGCUUACCAAGGCGACGAUCCGUAGCUGGUCUGAGAGGAUGAUCAGCCACACUGGGACUGAGACACGGCCCAGACUCCUACGGGAGGCAGCAGUGGGGAAUAUUGGACAAUGGGGGCAACCCUGAUCCAGCCAUGCCGCGUGAGUGAUGAAGGCCUUAGGGUUGUAAAGCUCUUUCGCCGGUGAAGAUGAUGACGGUAACCGGAGAAGAAGCCCCGGCUAACUUCGUGCCAGCCGCCGCGGUAAAAC